rnacentral:tRNA from 1 species
AGAGCCAGUGUGGUGUAGUGGUUAAGAGCGAUGGACUUGUAAUCUGGCGAACUGGGUUCGAUUCCCCGCUCCUCCA